GACGAACGCUGGCGGCGUGCUUAACACAUGCAAGUCGAACGGAAAGGCCCUGCUUUUGUGGGGUGCUCGAGUGGCGAACGGGUGAGUAACACGUGAGUAACCUGCCCUUGACUUUGGGAUAACUUCAGGAAACUGGGGCUAAUACCGGAUAGGAGCUCCUGCUGCAUGGUGGGGGUUGGAAAGUUUCGGCGGUUGGGGAUGGACUCGCGGCUUAUCAGCUUGUUGGUGGGGUAGUGGAUUACCAAGGCUUUGACGGGUAGCCGGCCUGAGAGGGUGACCGGCAACAUUGGGACUGAGAUACGGCCCAGACUACUACGGGAGGCAGCAGUGGGGAAUAUUGCACAAUGGGCGGAAGCCUGAUGCAGCAACGCCGCGUGCGGGAUGACGGCCUUCGGGUUGUAAACCGCUUUCGCCUGUGACGAAGCGUGAGUGACGGUAAUGGGUAAAGAAGCACCGGCUAACUACGUG
rnacentral:rRNA from 1 species